AUAACUUUUCUUAUAGCUGUUGCUCUCCUCUCCCAGGUCAGAUCCAUUUCUGAGUGUAACUCUAUGUAUUUUCUGACGGCUGGGUUGUAGUGGUAGCGUUUUAACUCAAGAGUUUUGUUGAAGGGUUGAUUGAGGUCUUUCUGCGAGGAGGGUAGAGAGGAUCUAGCGUCUCCUAUCGGGACCUUGGAUCUGUGAACAGAGGACAGAGCAGGAUUCCUAUAGUGACACAUGGUCCAGAGUGACAGGGGCAUCUGCUGCAGCGCCAGCCCAGGGACAGGGAGAGGGAAGGAGGGGGUACAGGGGGUAGGGGGACACUGGGGCGCUGGACAUUCCUUUCACAGGGGUGUGGAGGGUGCAGAUAUUCUGGGAUACUGCUGCCAGCACUUCGCAGGGAGACGUUUUUUCUGUAGCGUUUUUUUUUCUAAAGCAGAAUUUCUUCGGGAGAACUGAAGUGUGAACUCUUAAAAAGUGUUACUGUUGGAUUGAGGAAGUAGUGAGGGACAUGUUUGGUUUUCCUUUCGUCUCUUCCUCAAAGUGAUUAGGUAUGAAGGUGCUACUUGGCUGGUUCUUUAAGGUGCUGGAUCUAGUUUCCUCCCAGUCCUCCUGACCCCGUCGCCUGCCGGAGCUGAGAGAGUUGGAUCAGAGAGAGAGAGAGAGAGAUAGAGACCUACUGGAUCAGAGAGAGAGAGGCCUAGUACCACAGAGAGGAACGUCAGAGAAUCGUAGCUCGUUAGAGGAUCCUCAGUCUCUACGACCAGAUCUUUCUUAAUGUAACUCACUGUACAUGGGCAAGGAUCUACUUUCUUAACAUAACCCACUGUACAUGGGCAAGGAUCUACUUUCUUAACAUAACCCACUGUACAUGGGCAAGGAUCUAAUUUCUUAACAUAACCCACUGUACAUGGGCAAGGAUCUACUUUCUUAACAUAACCCACUGUACAUGGGCAAGGAUCUACUUUCUUAACAUAACCCACUGUACAUGGGCAAGGAUCUACUUUCUUAACAUAACCCCACUGUACAUGGGCAAGGAUCUACUUUCUUAACAUAACCCCACUGUACAUGGGCAAGGAUCUACUUUCUUAACAUAACCCACUGUACAUGGGCAAGGAUCUACUUUCUUGGUCCUCCACUGAAAGCCAAACAACACCUAAACGGAUGAAUAUUUUUAUGAGGCACCUCCUUGUAGCAGAGAUGGGCCAGGACCAAACCAAGCAGCAGGUAGAGAAAGGCUUAAAGCUGUACCAGGCCAAUCAGACUGACAAAGCCCUGCAUGUCUGGAUCAAGGUGCUGGAGAAGACCUCAGACCCCGGCGGGAAGUUCAGAGUGCUGGGCUGUCUCAUCACCGCCCACUCUGAGAUGGGGAAGUAUAAAGAGAUGCUCAAGUAUGCCUUGGCCCAGAUAGACACAGCCAGGGAGAUGGAGGACCCAGACUACCUGACUGAGGGCUACCUGAACCUGGCUAGGAGCAACGAGAAGCUGUGUGACUUCCAGAAGACUGUGUCCUACUGUAAGACCUGCCUCAACAUGCAGGGAACCACUGUCAGUCUGCAACUUAACGGACAGGUGUGUCUGAGCAUGGGCAACGCGUUCCUGGGCGUCAGCGUGUUCCAGAAGGCUCUAGAGAGCUAUGAGAAGGCCCUGCGAUACGCCCACAACAAUGAUGACAAGAUGCUGGAGUCUAGAGUCUGCUGCAGCCUGGGGAACUUCUACAUCCAGCUCAAGGACUACGAGAAAGCCCUGUUCUUCCCGUGUAAAGCGGCUGAGCUGGUGAAUGACUACGGUAAAGGCUGGAGUCUGAAGUACAGGGCCAUGAGCCAGUACCACAUGUCUGUAGCCUACAGGAAGCUGGACCGUCUGCCUGAUGCCAUGGAGUGCUGUGAGGAGUCCAUGAAGAUAGCCCUGCAGCACGGGGACAGACCUCUCCAGGCGCUGUGCUUACUGAACUUCGCUGAUAUCCACCGCUGCCGGAAUGACGUAGAUAAAGCAUUGCCUCGUUACGAGUCCUCCAUGUGUAUAAUGACAGAGAUCGGGAACCGUCUUGGGCAGACCCAGGUGUACCUGGGGGUAGGGAAGUGCUGGCUCCAGCAGAAAGAGCUAGAUAAGGCUCUGGAUGCUCUGCAGCGAGCGCAGGAGUUGUCAGAGGCUUUAGGAACCAAGCUGUGUAGUCUAAAGGUGCACUGUCUCAGUGAGGGGAUCUACCGCAGUAAGGAGAGUCAGGAGGAGCUGAGGGAGCAGGUUGUGAAGUUCCUGCAGUGUGUGGAGGAGCUGGAGCUGUACUGUGGAAUGUGUGGCGAGUCCAUAGGAGAGAAGAACCAACAGCUGCAGGCUCUGCCCUGCUCUCACAUCUUCCACCUCCAGUAGGUGACCCAUCUACAUGUUAUAUAGUCUACAUAUUAUUACUACAUAUGGCUCUGUCCUGCUCUCACAUCUUCCACCUCCAGUAGGUGCUCUAACGAUGACCCAUCUACAUGUUAUAUAGUCUACAUAUUAUUACUACAUAUGGCUCUGCCCUGCUCUCACAUCUUCCACCUCCAGUAGGUGACCCAUCUACAUGUUAUAUAGUCUACAUAUUAUUACUACAUAUGGCUCUGUCCUGCUCUCACAUCUUCCACCUCCAGUAGGUGACCCAUCUACAUGUUAUAUAGUCUACAUAUUAUUACUACAUAUGGCUCUGUCCUGCUCUCACAUCUUCCACCUCCAGUAGGUGACCCAUCUACAUGUUAUAUAGUCUACAUAUUAUUACUACAUAUGGCUCUGUCCUGCUCUCACAUCUUCCACCUCCAGUAGGUGCUCUAACGAUGACCCAUCUACAUGUUAUAUAGUCUACAUAUUAUUACUACAUAUGGCUCUGUCCUGCUCUCACAUCUUCCACCUCCAGUAGGUGCUCUAACGAUGACCCAUCUACAUGUUAUAUAGUCUACAUAUUAUUACUACAUAUGGCUCUGUCCUGCUCUCACAUCUUCCACCUCCAGUAGGUGACCCAUCUACAUGUUAUAUAGUCUACAUAUUAUUACUACAUAUGGCUCUGCCCUGCUCUCACAUCUUCCACCUCCAGUAGGUGACCCAUCUACAUGUUAUAUAGUCUACAUAUUAUUACUACAUAUGGCUCUGUCCUGCUCUCACAUCUUCCACCUCCAGUAGGUGACCCAUCUACAUGUUAUAUAGUCUACAUAUUAUUACUACAUAUGGCUCUGUCCUGCUCUCACAUCUUCCACCUCCAGUAGGUGCUCUAACGAUGACCCAUCUACAUGUUAUAUAGUCUACAUAUUAUUACUACAUAUGGCUCUGUCCUGCUCUCACAUCUUCCACCUCCAGUAGGUGACCCAUCUACAUGUUAUAUAGUCUACAUAUUAUUACUACAUAUGGCUCUGUCCUGCUCUCACAUCUUCCACCUCCAGUAGGUGACCCAUCUACAUGUUAUAUAGUCUACAUAUUAUUACUACAUAUGGCUCUGUCCUGCUCUCACAUCUUCCACCUCCAGUAGGUGCUCUAACGAUGACCCAUCUACAUGUUAUAUAGUCUACAUAUUAUUACUACAUAUGGCUCUGCCCUGCUCUCACAUCUUCCACCUCCAGUAGGUGCUCUAACGAUGACCCAUCUACAUGUUAUAUAGUCUACAUAUUAUUACUACAUAUGGCUCUGCCCUGCUCUCACAUCUUCCACCUCCAGUGUCUACAGAACAACGGAUCCAAGGGCUGCCCCAAAUGUCGUCGGUCCUCCAUGAAGCCUGGGUUUGUGUGAGGUUACGAGGCACAGUGACUGGGACUUGAGGACACUAUGUGAUAACACUCUGUGAAGCCCCGACCUCAGUCACAUAGGAGAGCCAGACUGCACUUCUGGAUGGGCAGACUGCUGAACACAUAUCUGAAUGUCCUAACUAAACACAUAUCUGAAUGUCCUAACUAAACACAUAUCUGAAUGUCCUAACUAAACACAUAUCUGAAUGUCCUAACUAAUCUAAACACAUAUCUGAAUGUCCUAACUAAUCUAAACACAUAUCUGAAUGUCCUAACUAAACUAAACACAUAUCUGAAUGUCCUAACUAAACACAUAUCUGAAUGUCCUAACUAAACACAUAUCUGAAUGUCCUAACUAAACACAUAUCUGAAUGUCCUAACUAAACACAUAUCUGAAUGUCCUAACUAAACACAUAUCUGAAUGUCCUAACUAAACACAUAUCUGAAUGUCCUAACUAAUCUGAACACAUACCUGAAUGUCCUAACUAAACUGAACACAGACUCGGAUACCGUUUGUUGACUGGCUGUUGUGUUCAGAGGAUGUGCCACAGAAUCAGAACCAGCCCAUUACCUCGUCCCCGGGCUACUUGCUACCGAGCGAGAGCAGGCUGGUAGACAAGAGUAACAAUCCCAGUGUGAGGACAGACAGGACUGUACUUCAAGACACACAGUCACAGUUCAAAAGGUCACCACUCCUCCGGUUUUCUACAGUGAACAUGUCUCCUUAGCUGACAGAGAUAAGGAGGAUAAAGGGAUAGAUUUAUUACACUGUUGUACAUGAUUUACUGUUUGUUUGUUUUUUGUCAGAGGGUGAGGAGGAUGAAAUCCAAUAUACUUCUUCGUUUUGAGGACGUCUGUUUUAGAUAAAUCUGAUAGUUUAGCAUAAUGUUCACUUUACUUUGGUUAGGGUAUGCUGGAAGAUUCAUUGCAAGAAUGUAAUUGGAAAUUAUGUUAAACAUUAUUGUUUGGGUAAAAAAGUGAAAUCAUUAGGAUUUUGGCCACACGUUCUAUUAAUCACAUUUAACAAAAUUGUAUUUUAAAUAUACCCAUCGAAAGGCAAAGUGAGCUAUACGUUUUCUAUAGGUGAUUACUGUAAAGUGGUUAAUAUGCCAUAUGUCACGAACAUAUUUCUGUACAACCUUUUUAUCAUCAGUUCUCGGUGAACAUACUGCACAUUGUCCAAUAACAGUUGACAAUACAACACUUUAACUGAAUAAUUAAUAAUCACAAAGAUCAAAUGGACGGUCAGGAUAUACUUGUGUUCAUUUGACUUUAGCAUUUGAUAAAAAAAAUAUCAAAACUA